AGUGAACGCUGGCGGUAGGCCUAACACAUGCAAGUCGAACGGCAGCACAGUAAGAGCUUGCUCUUACGGGUGGCGAGUGGCGGACGGGUGAGGAAUACAUCGGAAUCUACUUUUUCGUGGGGGAUAACGUAGGGAAACUUACGCUAAUACCGCAUACGACCUACGGGUGAAAGCAGGGGAUCUUCGGACCUUGCGCGAUUGAAUGAGCCGAUGUCGGAUUAGCUAGUUGGCGGGGUAAAGGCCCACCAAGGCGACGAUCCGUAGCUGGUCUGAGAGGAUGGUCGGCCACACUGGAACUGAGACAGGGUCCAGACUCCUACGGGAGGCAGCAGUGGGGAAUAGUGGACAAUGGGCGCAAGCCUGAUCCAGCCAUACCGCGUGGGUGAAGAAGGCCUUCGGGUUGUAAAGCCCUUUUGUUGGGAAAGAAAAGCAGCAGGUUAAUACCCCGCUGUUCUGACGGUACCCAAAGAAUAAGCACCGGCUAACUUCGUG
rnacentral:rRNA from 1 species